CAGAAGAGGGAGACAGAGACUCUGCAGAGACUGAAUUCUGCUGAAAUCUACCAGAUGUGGAGAUAUAGGCUGUCUCCAGGUUACUAUGGCAACAUGAAUAACAAGCAGUAACAGCACAAGCAUCGCUGGAAGAAACAUGACCAGAAUCACAUCAUGCCUUGACUGUGAGUUGUACAGGAAUCUGCCGAUCUCCUACAGAGCAGAAGUACCAGCCAGAAUCAGUCAGUCUCAGUCCA